UCAUACUAUUAAGAACAUAUACACAACACACGUGAUCACUUUUAUUAAAAACUUCAGAGUUUACAAGUCCGACAGCUUGUAUUACCUCAAUCCUAUACUUCAAAGAAUCUAUUUACUACUGUGACCUGUUUAAAAAACCAACACAGCAGCCUUCUAUGCACACAUCUUGUCAUCGAUCAUUAAAUUCUCCAUCACUGACCCAGUAUGGAUUUAUUUGAUUUCAAAAAACAACUGCAGUUCGCUGAACGAAGACCAUUAAAAUUUUUCAAACCAAAAUAUUUUAUGGAAACAUUUCUUCAAUAACAUUCAUUUAGACGUACAAUGAUAUAAAUUCUGAACUUCAAAUCUCAGCAGUAUGACCUUGUAUCUUAUAACUGUGAACAAAGAUGACAUUUUAUAGUUUUAUAUUUUACAGUUAUGAGCUAAUAUUCUUCAGCAGUACCAAACAGUUACUUUAAAGAACAGUUUCUUCAUAUUAGUAAUUGCUGUGUUUGUUUGGCAGAAAGAUCAAUGGAGUGUGAUAGCCAAUUUCAAAGUGACUCCACCAGAAUCCAUUUAAGGAGUGUGUUCCAAAUACAGUGCAUUUUUCUAAAUUCUCUUGCACUGAUCUGUUUUGUUUGUGUCUUGUGUCUUCAAACUGCUCACAAUCAUUUCUUAAAAACACUAGGGGCCCAAUGUUGACAAUCCAUAGCACACAAUCUAAAGUGCAUAGUCCAAAUGCAUUCAGGGUGUGUCCAAUUUCACCUUGCCAUUUGGAGGCUGGGGUGCACCAGCAGCUGGUGCACUGCUAUUCAGAGGACUCAAGUGAGAGGUUUGUUGGCAGGUUAGUCAAGUCUAUAAGUAUUUAGUGACUGGUUUUUGUAAACUUGCCUCUAUACACCACCACAGUGAAGCCAAAAUGAAUUGAGAAGUACCCACAGUGUAAAUGUUUAGCUUCAACAUUUUUAGUAACUUGAAAAUGUUUGUGUAAAGAAAAAGAGAAAUCUUUUAAAUUGAUGAGUUGUAUUAAAAGAAUCCUGACAUUUAGUUUGUCCAAUUACAUACUUAUAGCUUCAGAAAAUGGAUGAACUAUACAAACAGCUGUAAUUCCAAAAUAGCUAGUGUGAUAUUUUUGUUAAACCCCUUGAAUUAAAAACAGUCAACCCUGCAAGCACAUCUACAUUUUGAUAAUUUUAUUUCAACUCCAUUGUGGUGGUGUAGAGAAAAAAAAAUUACAAAAAUCUCUGACUGUAAAUACUUGUAGAACAGAUCUGCUCCAGUGCUUCAUACAGCACAUUCAGGUGUGUUGAUGGUACAAGCACAGUGUACUACAUGUAGCAUGAACCUGCCUAUGUAAGGUACACCUGAAUAUUUCACCAUAAUAUAGAACAACUAUUCACUCAAAUUUAGAUCAGAUUGUUGCUGAUAUAUAUGGCACAACUGUUUUCUGCUUCCUCGCAGUAACAAUGCCCCGGUGCAACACCUUGUUUUAGGACCAUGAGCACAAAUCCAGUCUGGAUUUGUAGAAUAUAGGCACUGGGUGUGAAAAUGGCAAGUGUGUUGGUUGGACACCAGCAAUGACACUUGUGAGGUGUGCUGCUUUGUGUUGGGUAGAAAAUAUGACCCUAGAACCAAGAAAAGAAAAUGUAUGGAUAAAAAGUAAAGUAAAAUGUUGUUUGCCCAUUUUGGCAAAAAUAUUGGUGACAUUUUACAUCUUACAAACAAAAACCCAUGUAAAAAGAUGAAGAG